GAGCAUUGGCGACCACCCAGGUCAAAGGCUACACUUUUGUGUCACCCACAUGAGUGUCACAUGCCACAGCGACACAACAAAUAAAUACAUCUCUCACGA